UGUAAGCGUAUACCAAAGUUGUUGCAGUUAAAACGCUCGUAGUCGGAAUUUGGCAGUUCCGGAUGUGUGCACGUCGUGUGCGCACUUCGCGGGGAUUGCUUUUGUGGUCUUGCGUAGGAUGAGGCACUUUUAUUAGUGAACGUCCUCACGCAACCACUUUUUACUGUGAGAAAAUCAGAGUGCUCAAAGCAGGCAUUUGCCGUGAAUGUAUUAGCAUGGAAUAAUAGAAUAGGACUUGGUUCUAUUUUGUUGGUUUGUUGGGACUGAGUAAUGAUUAAGAGGGACAGUUGGGGGCAUUUGUAUUUCGGUGCUAGAGGGGAAAUUCUUAGAUUACCGAAAGACAAACUGCUGCGAAAGCGUCUGCCAAGGAUGUUUUCAUUGA
rnacentral:rRNA from 1 species